AUGGCCAGCAGUGUGUAUGAAGCUUCAAGCUCUGCACCCAGUGCCUGGGUUUAAACACUUCUCUGAAGUCAACCGUGGGGCUCUGAUGGUGUACAUCCUUGGGAAUGCUGCCUUAAUUCUGUGUCCCAUCCUGAAGAGCCAGCCAUCAAUGAAGCCAUGGGGGUGUCAAGGACCAAGAAGACAAAGGACAGCAACAGUCGGAAGCAAAAGAGCAAGUUAGAGAAGGGGCAGGGGAUGCUGAAGAUGACUCGGGUGAAGGAGCACCCAGAAGAAAUACCAUGCAUGGGGCAGACAGCUGUGCUGAAAGGGAAGAGGGUCAAGGAGAAACCACUGCAGGAGAACACCAUCAGUAGCUCUGUAAGGCAUAAGGUUGCAGAAGAGAAAGAUCUCAGCUCAAGCUGGCAGGAUGGGAUUCCGGUGAAGGAGACGGCUGCAUCCUUCCAGGAGGAAACCAAUUCUACCCUCCACCAAGGGUCAUCAGUGGGACUGAAGGACUCCUCCAGGUCAAAGAGUAAAUCCCAGAGAGAGGGACCUGCAGUGGGACAGCAGCUCUCAGAGACAGAGGACAAAGUUGGGCUCCUCAAGCCCAGUAGAGGUGAUGAUGGUGUGGCUGCAUUCCUCUCUGGAGAGCCUGGGGCUUCAGGACUGGCUGUGGGGGUCACUGCUUUGAGGGAGAGUGUGGAGAAGGAGCUAGACCCACAUGUCCCAAUGCAGAAAGGGGAUGCAAGAAACCUG
rnacentral:lncRNA from 7 species